rnacentral:rRNA from 1 species
GAGUUUGAUCCUGGCUCAGAGCGAACGCUGGCGGCAGGCCUAACACAUGCAAGUCGAACGGAUCCUUCGGGAUUAGUGGCGGGCGGGUGAGUAACACGUGGGAACGUGCCUUUAGGUUCGGAACAACUCAGGGAAACUUGAGCUAAUACCGGAUGUGCCCUUAGGGGGAAAGAUUUAUCGCCUUUAGAGCGGCCCGCGUCUGAUUAGCUAGUUGGUGAGGUAAAGGCUCACCAAGGCGACGAUCAGUAGCUGGUCUGAGAGGAUGACCAGCCACAUUGGGACUGAGACACGGCCCAAACUCCUACGGGAGGCAGCAGUGGGGAAUCUUGCGCAAUGGGCGAAAGCCUGACGCAGCCAUGCCGCGUGUAUGAUGAAGGUCUUAGGAUUGUAAAAUACUUUCACCGGUGAAGAUAAUGACUGUAGCCGGAGAAGAAGCCCCGGCUAACUUCGUGCCAGCAGCCGCGGUAAUACGAAGGGGGCUAGCGUUGCUCGGAAUUACUGGGCGUAAAGGGAGCGUAGGCGGACAUUUAAGUCAGGGGUGAAAUCCCAGAGCUCAACUCUGGAACUGCCUUUGAUACUGGAUGUCUUGAGUAUGAGAGAGGUAUGUGGAACUCCGAGUGUAGAGGUGAAAUUCGUAGAUAUUCGGAAGAACACCAGUGGCGAAGGCGACAUACUGGCUCAUUACUGACGCUGAGGCUCGAAAGCGUGGGGAGCAAACAAG